rnacentral:snRNA from 1 species
AUUGUUUCUGGGCCUUUUGGCUAAGAUCAACUGCAGCAUCUGUUCUUAUCAGUUUAAUAUCUGAUACGUCCUCUAUGGAAAACAAUACUACAUGCAACAGGAACCCCUU